rnacentral:rRNA from 1 species
CACUAUGCCUAGCCCUAAACAUUGACAGUUAAUUACACCCACUGUCCGCCUGGGAACUACGAGCACCAGCUUAAAACCCAAAGGACUUGGCGGUGCUUUAGACCCACCUAGAGGAGCCUGUUCUAGAACCGAUAAUCCCCGUUAAACCUCACCCUUCCUUGUCAUUUCCGCCUAUAUACCACCGUCGCCAGCUUACCCUGUGAAGGCCCAAUAGUAAGCGCAAUCGGCAAUGCCCAAAACGUCAGGUCGAGGUGUAGCGUAUGGAAGGGGAAGAAAUGGGCUACAUUUACUAACACAGUAAAUACGGAUGAUUACCCUGCAACGAGUAUCUGAAGGAGGAUUUAGCAGUAAGCAAAAAGCAGAGUGUUUUGCUGAAAUUGGCCCUGAAGCGUGCACACACCGCCCGUCACUCUCUCCGAACUAAAACCUUAAACAUAACUAAUAUGCUAUAACUGUAAAGGGGAGGCAAGUCGUAA